rnacentral:rRNA from 1 species
AUGGACAUCGGCUCGGUGCCUUCCCAGGACGACGACGCGGCGGCCGCCACGCCGCGGGAGGCCACGCUGGGGCGCCACCUCGCGCGGCGCCUGGCCGAGGUGGGCGCGCGCGACGUCUUCGCAGUGCCGGGGGACUUCAACCUCACGCUCCUCGACGAGCUCGAGUCCGAGCUGCCGUCCGGCGGCGGGGUGCGGCUCGUCGGGUGCUGCAACGAGCUCAACGCCGCCUACGCCGCCGACGGCUACGCCCGAGCGCGCGCCGGCGGGGUCGGCGCCUGCGUGGUCACCUUCACCGUCGGAGCGCUCAGCGCCAUCAACGCCGUCGCCGGCGCCUUCAGCGAGAACCUCCCCGUCGUCUGCAUCUCCGGGGGGCCCAACAGCAACGACUACGGCAGCAACCGGAUCCUGCACCACACCAUCGGCCUCCCCGAUUUCUCGCAGGAGCUCCGCUGCUUCCAGAACGUCACCUGCUACCAGGCAGUGGUGAACAACUUGGAGGAUGCACAUGAACAGAUUGACACAGCCAUCUCCACUGCAUUGAAGGAGAGCAAACCUGUUUACAUCAGCAUCAGCUGCGACCUCCCUUCGAUCCCUCAUCCUACCUUCAGCAACCAUCCUGUCCCUUUCUUUCUCUCCCCAAGACUUUCAAACCAGAUGAGCCUGGAAGCAGCAGUGGAAGCCGCUGUGGCUUUCUUGAACAAAUCGGUCAAGCCGGUCCUCGUUGGCGGAGCCAAGAUGAGGGUGGCCAAAGCACGCAAAGCCUUCGUAGAGCUGGCUGAUGCAUGCGGUUAUCCGGUCGCGGUGAUGCCUUCUGCCAAGGGGUUUUGUAGAAAUUGUAGGAUGGGUAAUAUUUGUUGGGGAAACGCUUGUACUCGGUGCGCCGGCCGAAACUUCGGCCGCUCGCUCGCACAGCCGCACCUUUUUCCUUUUUUCCCCUUUCUCCACACUGGCCCUACGCACCGUCUCCCUCUGUGCCUUAUCUUCUUCCAGUGA